rnacentral:lncRNA from 1 species
GCUAAGUCAAAGAUAUUUAAUUUUUAAAUUUAUGAUAGAUUUAUAUUCUAUUUAUUAAUACAUGAUUAGUUCUACUUGUAGGAGUACUAUCGAUUCGACACUCCUCAGAAUGAAGAGGCUGGCCGUCGGACCUUCGAGAAGGUGGCCAUGCGGAGGUUUUGCGAUAGACUACAUAGCCUUUGACAGUCUGUCAUAGAGCACUUUAGUUUUGAGUCACUAUCAGACUAG